GCAGUAGCCGCGGGAAUACGAAGGGGGCUAGCGUUGCUCGGAAUGACUGGGCGUAAAGGGCGCGUAGGCGGCAUACACAGUCAGAUGUGAAAUUCCUGGGCUUAACCUGGGGGCUGCAUUUGAUACGUGUAGGCUAGAGUGGGGAAGAGGGUUGUGGAAUUCCCAGUGUAGAGGUGAAAUUCGUAGAUAUUGGGAAGAACACCGGUGGCGAAGGCGGCAACCUGGUCCUUGACUGACGCUGAGGCGCGAAAGCGUGGGGAGCAAACAGGAUUAGAUACCCCCGUAGUCCCUGUCUCUUAUAC
rnacentral:rRNA from 1 species